AUGUUUGUUGCAGAGAAUAUGUCAGAAGAAAUGUCAAUGUUCGGACGAGCCGGUGUAGGUAGAGAUUCGGCGCACCCUGGACAUCGAGAGAUCCCUAUUGAGCAUGCUCCGCAAACCUCGAUUGAUGAGUUGUUGAAGGUAAUAAAAGGAGCCAAUGGCAUGCCGGUGCUGUUCAUGCCCACCAGUGACGGCCGGCUGGCAGCAGUGGCCGUAGACGGCCUUCAGAGUUUGAUGCCCGCCAAACGCGAGGGCAGCGACCCUGUCAAAAAGGAGGAGGAGGAUUUCCGUGCCUGCUUGUUUGUCCUGACAUCACUAGUUGCUACUGUCACCUUCGCCGCAGGGCUCACUCCACCCGGUGGCUUCUGGGCGGAUGACAACGGGUACGUGGCUGGUACCCCGAUUAUGCGAGAUAAAUUUAGCAGAAGGAGUCUGUUUUCUGAGCAUGGGAAUUAG
rnacentral:rRNA from 1 species